rfam:Jatropha curcas cultivar GZQX0401 scaffold60_69, whole genome shotgun sequence.
AAGCUAUGAUGUGGGCACUUCGUCAAUAUAUCCUUGAAUCUCUCCCAAGCUUCAUACAAACUCUCUUGAUGAUGGUGGGCAAAGGUCAUUAUCUCAUUGCGAAGCUU